rnacentral:lncRNA from 1 species
GGAUCAGCCCCUGCAAUUAGCUAUUCCCACGUCAGUAAACAGCCGUUAGCGAAAAUAAAAAGAAAAGAACCCACCGCCGCCGAAAAAGAAAACCUAUCCUCCUGUGCGGCGCCGCCCGCCGCUGCCUCCUACGCGCCCGCCGCUCGCCUCCUGCGCGCCCGCCGACGCCGCUCUCCGGAGCCGUUCCGCCGCCGCCGCUCCGCUCGCGCGCGGCUGCGCCCGCCACCACCUCCUCCCGCCACCGCCGCUCGCUCGCCGCCGCCUCCUCCCGCCGGCGCCGCUUUCCAGAGCCGCUCGCGCGCGGCUGAGCCCGCCGCCGCCUCCUCCCACCGGCGCCGCUCGCCGGAGCCGCUCCGCUCGCGCGCCGCUGUGCGCCCGACGCCGCCGCCUCCCACCGGAGCCGCCUGCUUCCCUGCUCGCGUCGCGACGAAGAGGAAGGAGAGCUGGGGUCUGCUCACACCGCUACUGCCACCGUCUCGCCUCCCUCUAAAGCUGAUUUGUGGUUUGCGAUUUGUGAUCCCUGAUUUUGUGGAUCUGGGAAUUGAGAAUAUGGAUAGAAAAGGGAAGGAUGGUCCAUCCCUGCCAAAGGUGCUAAUUUUUGUUUGCAUCCAUGGAGUUAGGUUUAUAUCUAUUUUCGCAUUGCAUUUACAUGGAAUUAGAAUGAGGAGUAUUGAAAGAAGAAAGAUGAUGGUGGAUCAUGGGGCAGCGUCGAGGAACAUACAGGUGUCAACGAUCUUUAAUCAAACAAAGUGGAUUUUUCUUGCUAGCUAAUGAUCUGCCCAGCCAAUAUCUGUUCUUACUCCAAUAAAAUGAUGCUUUGUAGGAAUGUUCUGGGGCAUAUGUAGGUCU